rnacentral:rRNA from 1 species
GGGGAAUAUUGGACAAUGGGCGCAAGCCUGAUCCAGCCAUGCCGCGUGUGUGAUGAAGGCCUUAGGGUUGUAAAGCACUUUCACCGGUGAAGAUAAUGACGGUAACCGGAGAAGAAGCCCCGGCUAACUUCGUGCCAGCAGCCGCGGUAAUACGAAGGGGGCUAGCGUUGUUCGGAAUUACUGGGCGUAAAGCGCACGUAGGCGGAUAUUUAAGUCAGGGGUGAAAUCCCAGAGCUCAACUCUGGAACUGCCUUUGAUACUGGGUAUCUUGAGUAUGGAAGAGGUGAGUGGAAUUCCGAGUGUAGAGGUGAAAUUCGUAGAUAUUCGGAGGAACACCAGUGGCGAAGGCGGCUCACUGGUCCAUAACUGACGCUGAGGUGCGAAAGCGUGGGGAGCAAAC